CUGUAAUACAUAACACUCCCAUACACAUAAUUCUGUGCGGAGACAAUCUUCUUGUUUGAGAAUGUUAUUAGGAUACAGUAUUGCCUUUGUGCUAAUUUCAUAUUCUUAUGGACAGUCCCUGACCUCCUCUGCUUCUGUGGUGAAGAGACCUGGAGAGUCAGUCACUCUGUCCUGCACCGUGUCUGGACUCUCACUCAGCUGGUUGUACUGGAUUCGUCAAAAACCAGAACAAGGACUGGAGUGGAUCGGGCGCAUUGAUGGUGGCACUGGCACUAUAUUCGCUCAGUCUCUGCAGGGACAGUUCUCCAUCACUAAAGACACCAAUAAAAACAUGGUGUAUCUAGAAGUAAAGAGUCUGAAAACUGAAGACACGGCUGUUCAUUACUGUGCACGAGAGUCACAAUGA